rnacentral:rRNA from 1 species
AACGCUGGCGGCAGGCCUCAAACAUGCAAGUCUAGGGGGCGUAGCAAUACGUCACCGGCGGACGGGUGCGUAACACGUGGGAAUGUACCUACUGGUUCGGAACAACGCAGGGAAACUUGCGCUAAUACCGAAUGUGCCCGAAAGGGAAAAGAUUUAUCGCCAGUAGAUCAGCCCGCGUAGGAUCAGCUAGUUGGUAGGGUAAUGGCCUACCAAGGCGACGAUCCUUAGCUGUUCUGAGAGGAAGAUCAGCCACACUGGGACUGAGACACGGCCCAGACUCCUACGGGAGGCAGCAGUUGGGAAUCUUGGACAAUGGGGGAAACCCUGAUCCAGCCAUGCCGCGUGAGUGAUGAAGGCCUUAGGGUUGUAAAGCUCUUUUACCCGGGAAGAUAAUGACUGUACCGGGAGAAUAAGCUCCGGCUAACUUCGUGCCAGCAGCCGCGGUAAUACGAAGGGGGCUAGCGUUGUUCGGAAUUACUGGGCGUAAAGCGUGCGCAGGCGGUCUCUCAAGUCAGGGGUGAAAGCCCAGAGCUCAACUCUGGAACUGCCCUUGAAACUGUGAGGCUCGAGUGCGGGAGAGGUGAGUGGAAUUCCCAGUGUAGAGGUGAAAUUCGUAGAUAUUGGGAAGAACACCGGUGGCGAAGGCGGCUCACUGGCCCGUUUCUGACGCUCAUGCACGAUAGCGUGGGGAUCAAACAGGAUUAGAUACCCUGGUAGUCCACGCCGUAAACUAUGGACGCUAGCCGUUGGGUAGCUUGCUAUUCAGUGGCGCAGCUAACGCAUUAAGCGUCCCGCCUGGGGAGUACGGCCGC